GGGGGAAAAGAGGUGAAGUGUGCGCGUGCAAGAUUGAUUCCACCCAAACCUUUCCACUACGGUUCCCCUCUUAAUAGUACGGCUUUCCUAUGACUCAAAUAAAGAGAAUUGUAGAGAACACCGUGCUUCUGUUCCACGAAAGAGGGGGCGGGUCAUCUUGUGCCGUUGACGUGUGUUAUCUGAAAUCUUAAUACACACGGUUAGUCCUUUGCGGUACUGUCAUCAAUCACCAAAAUUACUUAGGCAUAAACUAUGCCCCAACAAUCUCCCCCUUUUUGGUGGAUUGAUGACAAUACCGGAUUUACACAGUGAAUAAUAUGAGAACAAAAAGAUAGAGAUAUAUGAGAAUAAGGAGCAUAUGACUCACAACAUAUGAUGGAAAUAAAUCUCACACAAGUUCAUGUCUCACGUCACACAAAGCAAAGAUAGCAAAAUAGAAGCAAACCAAGUUCGAAGCAAAACACGAAAGAUAAGCAAAGCUAAGCAAAGUUCAACUCUCAAAGCAAAUCCAGCUCCUAGACUCUCUCCCCCUUUGGCACAAGACACCAAAAAGGGGCACACCUAACGCCACAGGUGGUCACUCCUCAUCCUCAUCAUCGCCAGACUCGUCCGUAGCAUCCGGAUCGUCCUGCUCCUCUGCAUUGUUCUCUUCCUCCUCAGCGCCAGACCACUGGUAACCUUGAGCCCGCAUCCAAGCAGCCUCUGGAGUGAUGUCAUCCUCUGAUCCGCUGGAGAUGUCAACAUCAAGUGUCCUCAGGACACGCUUGUGCCUCUGACGGUUCUCCUUCUGAGCCACGUGCGUCUGAUACUGGCCCUUAGCCUGCAUACAGAAGAGAGUCUUCAUCUUAUCCUGCAGUUUCAUGGCCCAAGAUGGCAUGGCAGAAGAGCGGGACUGAGAAGCGGUUCCUCUGUCACCAACAGUCUCUGUGUCAGUGUCCAUGUGCUGAGAUGAAGUGGAUGGGUUGGCCCAUUUGUCCUUGACGCGAAGCUUGACAGGAUCGUGCACAAAGUAGUCAGCCUGAAUGUAUAACUCCUCCUGCGGAUAGGUGUCUUGCCACUUCUGACGGAUAUAAGCAAACAGGUAGGGCCCGUAGAUGGGAACCUUGCGCAUCAUGAUGCAGUUCCAGAGCUCAGUGAACAUCACAUCAGAAAUAUCAAGAGGGGCAGACUCCUUAGUCAUAGCCUCCUCACAGAGCAGUAGCAUCUCAGCCAGAGAGCCAUGUACCUCGUCGAAGUUGCCAAUGCGAGGAAAGAGGGUGUUGUGGAAUAUCCGAUGCAUGAUGUCCAGAUGCCUGGGGAGCACACCUUUCUUCACAUAGAGUUGCUGCAAUCUGUCCUUGGCGGAGGCCCUAUCAGUGGGAGCUGCAGCAUGAGGACGCGACCCAAGUGGAGUGUCGGCUCCCUGGAAAUCAACCUUGAGGAAUGCCAUGAAUUCACGCCAGGAACCGGUCAUCUUCUGAGUCCCAGUCAUCCACACUAGGGAGCGCUCGUCAUCAGGUGAGAAGUGAACCGUGACAUAGAACUGGGCAACAACAUUGGGGUCAAAGUCUGUCUUGAAGGAGAUGAUCUCCUUAAUGCCCAGCUUGUCAAUCAGAGAGAGAGCAUCACCAAAGUAGUCCAUGUUCCGCUGAAGGUGAGCCAGGUCAAUCCACUGAACGGGGACAAAGCUCUUCUUGAAAUGGUUGAUGAUAUCACGGUAGAUCCUGCAGUGAUCCUUUGCCCAAACAUGCUCGACAUUCUUGAUCACAACCCUCUCUUGGAGAUAGUGGUUUUGGUUGUGGAACCUCAGAAAAUCCUUAGGGGGCAUGGUGCGAACGUUGACCGCCUUGUCCUUGUGAGCGGUCUUCUUGAAGGCCUGCUUUUUGGGUUGCAGACCUGAAGUGGCGGAGCCCUCUGGAGCCUCUGGGUUGCGAUAAUGCUUUGACUGUGUGUCUCGUGGGGGGUUCAAGCAGCGAGCACCACCUGUGACACAAAACACACACCGAAAAAGAGCGACAAAACGAGUCAAGGCAAUGAACAAGAAAAGGCAGAAAAGUAAACACACAUUGCCAAGCAAAUGAAAGAAUACACAGAGAAUCCUCCUGGCGGUAGUACCGCUGGGGUCAGAGUGGUAGUACCGCUAUCCCUGGUGGUAGUACCGCUGGGGUCCUGGCGGUAGUACCGCUGCCCCUGGCGGUAGUACCGCUGGGAUUUGAUUUUUCAGAUCUGAAUAUGAAGAGAGCCCAUAGAGAUGGCCACAUGGAUUUUCCGAGGGCUACGGGCUGUGUAUAAUCACUAAGAACUCCACCACAGCCCUAACCACAUGAGGAUCGCAAGUACCAUCUAAAGAAGGACAUGCCUAGUCAAGAGAGUGCAAGUUUUAGAUCUAAUCCAAACAUAGUCCAAGAGCUUGAUCUAAAACAUGUAAAUCCUAGGGCAUGGCAAUAUAAAAGCAAAGAUUCAUAGGACCUACACUCCCCUCGAAUACCUCCUUCAUGCCAUCCAAGAACAAAGCACGAUAUCAAAGACAUGGAUCCAAACCACCAAUGCUCCUAACCCUAGAACAAGAACAUCAACAAAGAGAAGAAGGGGAGGAGCUUUACCGGGGUCCAUGGCACUUGGAGGAGGAAGGAGAAGUGGAGCAAACCCCCCAACUCAACAGAGAGAAGGAGCUCCACGGAUAGAGAUCCAAAAAGGGGGAGUUCGGGGUUGGGGAGGGAGGAGCCGCGAGGAAGAAGAAAGAGGCAGGAAAAACGGGAUCCCCCUCCUUUAUAUAGCCCAAGGGGUACGGGCCAGCGGUAGUACCGCUGUGGUCCUGGCGGUAGUACCGCUGGCUGCAGCGGUAGUACCACUCCCCCUGGCGGUAGUACCGCUGGGGUCCUGGCCGUAGUACUGCUACCCCUGACGGUAGUACCGCUACAAAUGUCACAACGGGACCUAGGAGAAGAGAAGAACGUGUACAAAUGACAAGUUAGUGAAAAAGAAGAUAGCACCAGCAAGAUAUACUGACUUGUCAUUUUAUAUCCUUUCUUCUAUAUGAGAGAAAGGUGGGGGGGGGGGGGGGGGGGGGGGGGGGGGGGGGAGAGAGAGGGAGCAGGGAGGCCACCUAUGUUUGAGACAAAGGUAUGACACCGCGAAGAAUUAUCCUUGGGUUCAUGACCAAUGCUCGUCUUUGAAGCACAAGUGCCAUUUGACAAUGGCUAGAGUGAAAGACUAUAUCGAUUUAUGCAUAAUGGGGGGAGGAAAAGUUCAUUGAGAGAACAACACUCCCCCUAUGUCCAUGCCUACAUCUAGAACAAGAUAGAAUGCAUAGUGAGGUGCAACGUGCCUAGCUUCAAUCCACGUUACUUGAAUCAAUGAUAUUUAGCUCAUGCCUUAACUCCCGGAACCUUGCUUCAUCUAGGGGCUUAGUGAAAAUAUCUGGAAGUUGCUCUUCAGUGUGGAUGAAGUGAACCUCAAUAUCACCUAGCUUGAUAUGUUCACGAAUGAAGUGAUGGCGAAUAUCAAUAUGCUUGGUUUUGCUAUGUUGCACUGGGUUGAGGGAAAUCUUGAUAGCACUUUGAUUGUCACAUAGAAGAGGCACUUUGUCACAAGUGACACCGUAAUCCUUUAAAGUUUGCCUCAUCCAUAGCAAUUGUGCACAACAACUUGCAGCAGCCACAUACUCAGCUUCGGUGGAUGAUAGAGAGACGCAAUUCUGCUUCUUUGAAGACCAGCUUACCAGUGAGCGACCAAGGAAUUGGCAUCCUCCAGAAGUUGACUUCCUGUCCACACAAUCUCCUGCCCAAUCUGAGUCAGAAUAGCCAACUAGAUUGAAGUUUGCUCCUUUGGGAUACCAAAGGCCAAAGUUUGGGGUAUGAGCCAAAUAUUGAAAGAUUCGCUUAACAGCCAUAUAAUGACUUUCUUUUGGUGCGGAUUGAAACCGUGCACAUAUCCCUACACUCAACAUAAUAUCUAGUCUAUAUGCACAAAGGUAAAGGAGGGAUCCAAUCAUGGAGCGAUAUACCUUUUGAUCCACUGCUUUACCAUUGGGAUCACUGUCAAGCUUGCAUCUUGUUGGCAUGGGGAAUUUGACCGGUUUGACAUCUUCAAGCUCGAACCGUUUGAGCAUGUCUUGAAUGUACUUGGCUUGUUUGAUGAAGGUCCCUUCUAGGCCUUGUUUAAUCUCGAACCCGAGGAAGAACUUCAACUCUCCCAUCAUGGACAUCUCAAAUUUCUCAGUCAUUAGUGCAGCAAAUUCUUCAUUGAAGGAAAUGUUAGGAGAGCCAAAGAUAAUAUCAUCAACAUAUAGUUGGCAUAUGAACAAAUACCCUUUAACCCUCUUAGUAAAAAGAGUGGGAUCUAUCUUCCCAAUUUCAAACCCACGAUCUUGUAAUAACUCAGUAGGAUACUCAUACCACGCACGUGGGGCUUGUUUAAGGCCAUAGAGUGCCUUAUUAAGUUUGUACACAUGAUUGGGGAGCUUGGGAUGUUCGAAUCUCGGGGGUUGUUUGACAUAGACCAACUGAUUUAAAGGACCAUUAAGAAAGGCACUUUUCACAUCCAUUUGUUGUAAUUUGAAGUUAUGAUGAGAAGCAAAUGCAAGCAACAUGCGAAUAGAUUCUAGACGAGCAACAGGGGCAAAGGUUUCACCGUAGUCGAUACUCUCGACUUGGGAGUAGCCUUGAGCCACCAAUCUUGCCUUGUUUCGAAUCACAAUCCCAUUGGCAUCUUGCUUGUUCUUGAAUAUCCAUUUGGUCCCGAUGACAUUAUGUUCCUCCGUUGGCCUUGGCACUAAAUCCCACACUUGGUUGCGCUCGAAGUUGUUAAGUUCUUCAUGCAUGGCCAUAAGCCAAUCCUCAUCGUCGAGCGCUUCCUGUACCUGUUGAGGUUCACAAUACGAAACAAAUGCGUGAUGCUCACAAUAAUUCCAAAUCUGUUGACGGAUGGAUACUCCCCUUUUUAAACUGCCAAGUACAUUCUUCAUAAGGUGUGACUUGACUCUCAGCUUGUUCGCAAUCUUGGCUGCUCGACGCUCCAAGAGUUCUUCAUUGGAUAGCGGGGGAGCAUCGACUUGUUUACUUUUCUUGCCCUUGCGUCUUGAGCCUCCAUUGGCACCGGCUGUUGGUGCUGCAGAAGGGAAUUGUGAGACAGUAUCCUGAUCAUCUUGACUUUUGACUUGAGCAGGUUCACUAGUUUGUUCUUGUAUUUGUGGUUGCUCUUGACCUUGAUCUUGAUCUUGUGCUUCCACUUGGUCUGGAUCUCGUGGUUGCACUUGAUCUUGAUCAUGAGCAGGUUCGGUGUCUUGGGAGAGUGCUUGAAAAUCAUGAGAUACAUCAUCAUUGUUGGGCAAUUUAUCUUGACCUUGAGCUUGUUCAUUUUGUUGAGAGUCUUCUCUUUGUUCAUCGGAAGCGUGUGGGGCUUGUGGAGGUGAUGGCUCCAUUUGAGUAGAGCAUUGUCCUUCUCCUUCGGCCACAAGGGGUUCCUCAAUGGGGAGUAUUUGACCAAUCCCCAUUCUUCUUAUGGCUUGGGGAGGAAUUUCAUCACCUACAUCACAAAGACCACUUUGCUCCACUUGGGAGCCAUUAUUUUCAUCAAACUCCACGUUACAUGUCUCCUCAAUAAGUCCGGUGGACUUGUUGAGGAUACGGUAAGCAUGAGAGUUUGUAGCAUAACCAACAAAGAUGCCCUCAUGUGCUCUAGAAUCAAAUUUAGCUAAACGUGCACCUUUCUUGAGAAUGAAACACUUACAACCGAAUACCCGGAAGUACUUGAGAUUGGGUUUGUUUCCAGUUAGAAUCUCAUACGAGUCUUGUUCAAGCCUUUGCGGAUAUAGAGCCGAUUGGACGCAUGACAUGCUGUGUUGAUGGCCUCUGCCCAGAAGUUAUAUGGAGAUUUGAAUUCUGCCAUCAUUGUCCUUGCAGCGUCUAUCAAGGUCCGGUUCUUCCUUUCUGCCACGCCGUUUUGUUGAGGGGUAUAUGGUGCUGAAUAUUGGUGUUUUAUUCCCUCAUCACCUAGAAACUCAUCCAAGGUGUAGUUCUUGAACUCGGUGGCGUUGUCACUUCUAAUCAUCAAGAUCUUUGCUUCAUGUUGACGUUGAGCUUCAUUAGCAAAGUUGAUGACAGUUUGCUGAGUUUCACUCUUCUUUUUGAAGAAAUAUACCCAGGUGUAUCUUGAGUAGUUGUCAACGAUCACCAAGCAAUACUUUCUGCCUCCAAGACUAUCAAAUGAUGGAGGGCCAAACAGAUCCAUAUGGAGAAGCUCCAAUGGCCUCUUAGUGUAGAUGAGAGUCGUUGGACGAUGAACAGUAUCAUGAAUCUUUCCUUCAAUGCAGGCACUGCAAACACGAUCUUUAGCAAAACUCACAUUUUUUAGUCCACGAAUAUGGUCCCCUGUCAGAAGACUUUGCAAAGAUCUCAUAUUGACAUGAGCUAAACGGCGAUGCCAAAGCCAGCCCACAUCAACUUUAGCCAUUAAACACGUCGCGGUCUUAGUGGGUCGCUUUGAGAAGUUCACCACAUAAAGACCAUUUUCGACAUAUCCAACAUAGGCUACUUUAAGAGUCUUGCUCCUCAGGAGGACCACAGUAUCAAGAUUAAAGAAUGUGGAAAAACCCAUAAUUGCAAGUUGACGAACCGAAAGUACAUUGUAGGCAAGUGACUCAACAAGCAUGACCUUCUCAAUAGAUAACUCUUGAGAGACAACCACCUUACCAAAUCCCAAUACCUUUGACGAGGAUGCAUCGGCGAAUUGGACAUGGGUGGGCAUAGAUGGAGAAGGAUGCACAUCCACCACUAAGUCCUUGCUUCCGGUCAUAUGAUUUGUUGCUCCACUAUCGAGCAACCAUGACACCCCACCGGAAGCAAACUCAUGCAAUAGAUCAAGGCUUGGUUUUAGGUACCCAUUUUUAAUGGGUCCUUUCAUGUUAGAGACAAGGGUCUUAGGAACCCAGAUAGCCCAUUCAAUGUACUCAUCGUAGGAACCAACAAAUCUGGCAUAAACAUGCCCAUCACUAGCACGACAUAAGACAUAAGAAGAAUUGAGUUUGUCGGCUGUGUUAGUAGGAAUGGUUUUCCCCUUCUUGCGGUUUCCAUAGUCCACCUUGUUCCUAUUCACCUUCUGAGUCCCCUCACCCUCUUUGACAAAGAUGUCCAUGAGGGUAGGAGAUCGUUUGUUCCUGUUCCUCCUUUUACCUUUUCACUUGGAGGUAAGUCCAAGUCCCUCCUUUCCUACAACACCUUUUUGAGUGCUCAAGAGGUCGUUCAGGCUCUUCUCACCUUGUAUGCAUGCCACAAGGCCCUUCUCAAGUUUCUCCUUUAACUUGGCAUUUUCCUCCACAAGAUGUACAUGCUCACAACAGGGAUUAGUUGCACAAGCAUUAUCAAUUAACACAAAGGGAGGACAAGUAGAGAUCUCCUUGGUAAGCUUUGCUUGGAGUUGAUCAUGAGACUCUUUCAGAGAGAAAUGAACACCUUUCAAGACCUUGUGGGCCUUGUCAAGUGUGUCAAACUCCUCUUUGAGUCUGUCAUGGCCAACCCCAAGAGCAUACUUUUGAGACUUAAGCAUACGAGUAAGAACAACAUUGUGAUCUAGUUUCUUUUGCAUUUUAGCGCAGUCAUCGUUAUAUGACUCCUCAAGAGCCAAACGAAGAGUGCGCUCCUUUUCUAGAGCAAUAGAUAAUUCAGCAAUUUCAUCGGCAUAGUCACGACUGUGUCCCUGAAGCUCGGAGAUGGUCUCCUCAUGAGACUCAAUGAGAUCAGUGACCUCACCCAGUUGUUCCAAGAGAGCAACAAAGUGCUUCUUGGAUUCUCCCUUAAUAGUGCACAUAAACUUGUCAAGAUCAUGCUCAUUAAGUUCCCCAACAUCACUAUCAUCAACACAAUUUAACAAUGAAGGAGCAGUAGCGAUGUUGGUCUUAAUGAUGGGGGUUACCUGAUUGAUACCUUUUGCCAUGAGGCACUUGGUGAUGUGGUUCUCGUUGGGGGCGUCGAAGAGGGACACCUUCUGGGGAGAGGUAGUGGCAAUAGCAACAAUUGCCGUUGCCACUGUAUCAUCAUCAUCAUCAUCAUCGGAAGGGUACUCUUCAAGGGCCACCAUCCCUUUUGGGUGGGGUUUCUUCACAAAGUUGUUCUUGAUUGGAAAUGAUUUGGUUUUGUCUUUGCGAAUGAGCUUGCCCCCGUUGUCUUCCCUUUUCUCAUAGGGACAUUCGGCCACGAAGUGGCUCACAUUACCACAGUUAUAACAUGUCCUCACUCGUUGUUUGGGUUUGAAUCCACUCGAGUUAUUCUUGGUGAAGGUGGGUCUUGAGUUCCUCUUGUUGCCCCAGAAUUUCCUUGAUGCAAGAGCCAUGUGCUCAUGAUAGGCAUACUUUGUGUCUUCAGGGCAGCUCUCCUCUUCCUCAUCCUCUUCUUCUUCUUCAAACAUUGCUUUUGCUUUUAACGCAAGGUUGGGUGAAGUUGUCUUUGAGCGAACACGAGCAAGUGCAUUGUUGGUUGUUUCGUUCAUGAUUGACANNNNNNNNNNNNNNNNNNNNNNNNNNNNNNNNNNNNNNNNNNNNNNNNNNNNNNNNNNNNNNNNNNNNNNNNNNNNNNNNNNNNNNNNNNNNNNNNNNNNCGAAUAGGAAGGAAGCGCAUCUAAGUGUUUUGCAAGCAAGUAAACAUAGCACAUAAUAGUAAAUAAAGUAGACAAUCUGGGUUCAACUGUCUUCUUAUUAAUGAUACAGAGUACAACGCAGAUACAAUCAAUGUAGUUCCGGUACGGACUACAAAACAAGGAAAAUGCUAUGCUACCCGCUGCAGGCCCACGAUCACGACCACGGCUCAGUCCUCUGGAUAGUUCACGUAAAGGCGAUCUGUCUCCUCGUCGUACUGCCACGCCAGCUGGGUGCCGUCGGGAUCAUCUGCCUCUGGGGUACCUGUACCUGCUGGGAGUUUCGGAGGAAUCCGUGAGUCACGGGGACUCAGCAAUCUAAGACCUUGGUGCCAGACCUAGUCAUGUUAAUGGGUAAGGAAGGGAUGAAGUGUUUCCGGCUGCUGCAUCCUAAGAUUGAAUAAGUGGCUAGCUUACGCAAAGGGAAAAAUGACAAUGGUAUAUGCUAACGAUCGAGAACACUUGAUCAGAAAGUGAUCCUGAACACCUACCUACGUCAUACAUAACCCCUCCGUGUUCCCGAUCGAAGAGAGAUCUUCGAAGGGACAGUCACGGUUACGCACUCAGUUGGCAUGUUUAUUAGUUUAUGUUCAAGUUCUCUAAUACCGGAUGUUAACAAAUAUUCCAAGUUGCCACAUAACCGCGGGAACGGCUUUCCGAAAAGAUUAAACCCUGCAGGGGUGCUCCAACUAGUCCAUCACAAACGAACACAGGCCGCAAAGGCAUCCUCUAUCACGAAUCUCGUGAUCUCGUCGGAUUCCUUAGAGGAAAACCUCAACUCUGGGGGAAACCAAAGCUUCACCGGGAUUCCGUGCGCAAGAUACACCGCUAAGGCAAGACAAGACUAGCAGGACCUCCCGACGUGUCGACGACCCUGAUAAGAGUCGCGUAUCUCAGUCUCAGGACACGCCGGAUGAGCGAUGGUUACCACGCCAAAACUCCGAGUUGCCCCGGGGAGCGUAAUAAGCUGCUCUGGUUUGGACCAACACUCAUGAGGAGCACUGGCCCAGGUUGUUGAUUAAGAAACCUCGGGGUAGCUAUUCCCUAUGCAGUUUAUUAUUAAGUGAUUAGCAAAUAGUACCAAUGUUGGGUCCUUCCGGACAAGCCUUAACACUACGCGAUUUAUCAAGGGGGUCCCCAUAACAACCCCGAACGUGUUAGGAGCGAUCAAUAUGGAAUCAAACACCGGUAACCGGUAACUAAGGCGGCAAUAACGGAACAAGACACCCGGCAAAAGGCUAGGCCUCCUGUCAUUUACCAAAUAUAUAGGUACAUUAAAUAAAUAACAGAAAUUAAUAUAAUGAUAUCAAGCUCAUGGCAACUCAUGAGUUAUAAACACCUGCAACUAACAAUGCUAACAUUAGUAGCUGAGCAAGCCUACCUAGCCAUGCAAAUUUGCUAGGAAAGAGUAAGGUGUUUGGGCUCAUGGCAUAUGAAGAGGCUACAUAUCAUCAGUGGUAGGCAGCGAGCAAUAUGACGUGGAAUCGAAACUAACAUAACAAGUCUAGAUAUGGGAUCAAGGUCAUGUCAUCUUGCCUGUGAUAUCCUCAGCUUGGAAUGGUUCUGGAUCGUCCUGCACGUACUCUCCCGACUCCACGUAAUCGGUCUCCGCUCCCGGUGCUACCCAACACAAGAAUGACAGCCAAUGAACAGCAGCACCAAGAAAUGCAACAUUCACAUGAUGCAUGAGAUGAAAGUUGAGCAUGCACCACUAUUUCUAACACUAGCACGAGCACGAAUAACUACAACAAGUUCCUGGACAGAACUUUGCACUAAAAUAUUUGGACAUGCAUGGGAAUGAUAUGAACAGAUGCAUCUCGUAAAAACGGUGCAAAACCAUUUAAAGAACUUUGCAAACGGAGCUACGGAUCAACGGGAAUCAACGAAACCGUUAUGAAGCCCUACGUGAAAGAUUCAUCACCACACACACAAUUGGCACAAAUCUGGUGUUCCCAGGUUUUCAAGACAUAUAUGAACCCAACAUGAAUGAAAUGGAGCAAGGUAGAACACUCCAACAACAAUUAAACGCAAACUUUGAACAAAAUGUCAAAACUACGCAAUCUGCCAGUUUCUGCAUCUUAGCUGUUUGAGAGCAACAUGCAACAUAGCUACAGGUCUUCAAACAAGACAAAUAAUAUAUGUGGAUGUUGCCAACCAAGAAUAAUACCAUCUCCAGCAAGAAUCACAGCAAAAGGAAUUAAACUCUAGAAGAUACAAGGCCACAAACUUUCCCAAAACCAUCAGUUCUCAGGGACUUAGUGAAAAUUCCUGCACCUGAGUUUCUGUUUCUGUUCUGAAGCUUUUUNNNNNNNNNNNNNNNNNNNNNNNNNNNNNNNNNNNNNNNNNNNNNNNNNNNNNNNNNNNNNNNNNNNNNNNNNNNNNNNNNNNNNNNNNNNNNNNNNNNNNNNNNNNNNNNNNNNNNNNNNNNNNNNNNNNNNNNNNNNNNNNNNNNNNACAGGAAGCUUCACAACCAUACCAGGUUCAAAACACUAGCACUGAACUAAGUCCAGUUCCCAACAUAAUGACCAGCACAACCUUAUUUACAGGGGAAGAAAAUGUUUCCAGCACUCCAGACUUAGUGAAAUUUUCAGAGUUCAAAAAUCUGGAAUUUUUCCAGCCACAUGCCCACUUUGUCUAGGCAUAGUUUGCACACCCAUGUCCCCAAGAGGUGUUUGACACCACUAUGGUGUUGAGCACAAACCCCUACAACUAGCACACCAAGACCCAUGCCUUAGGGCUCCUUCUAUACCGUGGGAACAAGGCCCAAACUUUCAACAAAGUGCAUAUGCAAUCCAUAAGGUAUGCUCCUAAGAUGACAAGUAAAUAGGAGAGUUUCAUGUGCACAAUGACAAAGUGACAUGGGGGUUUUAACCCCAUGUUUGUGUCAUGCACAUCAACAACACCAACACCCAUAUCACAAUACUACUAGAUUCAAGCACAAUACAAUAGGAUUCUAAGCUAACAAGAGAGUAUGCACACCUCCACAUAUGGGCAUGUGGUGGUGCACACUCUCACAUGUAUUCCACUUCUUUUACAACAACAUCAUGCCCUUAAACCUAAGGAAAACUAGAGGGGGUAAGAAACUAAGCAAGUAACUUGGUAGCAUCAACUCUCAAACACUUUUAGUAGGUACCACAAGUGGUGUGCACUCACAACAACAUCAUCUCCAUUCCUACGCAUGUUAUGAUGGCAAUGAACACUAGGAUAAGCUCUCACACACAAUUAUAUGUGGUGGGGAGGGCACCCCUUCAUCCACACACUUGCACAAGGCCACCCUCAUGAGGGCAACUAGCACCCACAUGCACUAGACUAGCAAGGCACCCAAGUGAGAGCACCAAUAUAAACACACUCUCACACACAUCACACCUCAAGCACCAUUUACGAGCACCUAGGCCCACACCACUACUACCAUCACAAUACUUCUCCUACUUCCUCAACAAGUGACAUGGAAGGGAGGAACAUAGGCAUGGAUUCACACCACUACUAUCAUCACAAACUACUCCUACACCUCCUACAAUUAACAUGGAAGGGAGAAAUACAUAGGUCAAAAUAUACUCUGAGCUGGACAUGGGGUUGCUCACAUAGCAAGGGAAAAAAAAGACUGCAAAACAGGAAAAAAAAAGAACAAAAGAAAAAGAAAUCUGGGCUGACUGGGAUUCGAACCCCAGCCCCCUGAUACAACAAUACCACAACCCACCACUAUGCUGCUGCUACGGUUGUUAACAAGAGAGGAGGGAAUAGCAAGGUAAGUUGACUGCAUGCCCUGAUACGAAUAAAAUCAAAAACAACCACCAAAAGGCGCCGAGGGGGGGACUCGAACCCACGCCCUCCUACAGGCGCUAGAAUAAGCCAGCACUACACUACCAUCGGGCUACGGAUCGGGAACUGGUUAGAGCAGCAGGUAAAAAUAGUAAAACACUCCUCUCGCGAGAAGUAUCCCGCCGGCGGCCGGAGCCGAGGACGCUGGCGGCGCCACUCCCGGCCACCACCGGCAGGGGAAACCGUCGGCGGGGCCCGCGGGACUCCCGGGGGAUCCAUUUUUGCCCUGAGCACGGGAGAAGGAGCACCCUUGGCUGCCUUGAACUGCAGCGGCGUUCCUGCUACGCUGCAGUUCGCGUGGGAGCACGGGACAGAGAGCUUGACGGGCCUCCCUGCUAGCGCUGCCGCGCUGCACUACCGACGACGAGGGGGGGGUCCCUCUGGUCACGCGCUACCGUCGAGGGAAGGAGGAAGCCCCUGUUACCACCCCUACCUCUAACAGCAACAACUAACACUCGUACUCUGCACGUACACCCAACAACAGCCCCCUGACGAACGCCGGCAGGGAAGACGACGACCUCGCCGCGGAUCGGGACCGGACUGAGGAGGAGGAAGCACUGGGCGGCGGGCCUCACCUUGGGGCGAAGAGGGGGCGCCGCACGGGGCGGAGGACGCCGGAGGCGAAGAAGAGGAGCCGCGCAGUUCGCCCGGUUCGCCCAGAAGACGGGGACGAGCUCGACGGGGGGGGCCGCGCCUCGGGGUCCUAGCGCCGGGAAUGGGACGCGGGGAGCCGCCCCGAGCCCCCGGACAUGGCGCCCAGUGCCGGAGACGACGGAUCGGCGGUUAGACGGAGGAGGCGCUGCACCCUCUCUCUCUGCUUUCUCUCAGAACUUACCAGGGAAGAACGAGGGCACGAGGGAAACUGGCGGCGCUGGGGAGGAAAGG
rnacentral:lncRNA from 1 species